AUACGUAGGGAGCAAGCGUUAUCCGGAUUUAUUGGGUGUAAAGGGUGCGUAGACGGGAAAUUAAGUUAGUUGUGAAAUCCCUCGGCUCAACUGAGGAACUGCAACUAAAACUGAUUUUCUUGAGUGCAGGAGAGGAAAGUGGAAUUCCUAGUGUAGCGGUGAAAUGUGUAGAUAUUAGGAGGAACACCAGUGGCGAAGGCGACUUUCUGGACUGUAACUGACGUUGAGGCACGAAAGCGUGGGGAGCAAACAGGAUUAGAUACCCUGGUAGUCCACGCUGUAAACGAUGGAUACUAGGUGUAGGGAAUAUUAAGCCUUCUGUGCCGUCGCUAACGCAGUAAGUAUCCCACCUGGGGAGUACGACCGCAAGGUUGAAACUCAAAUGAAUUGGCGGGG
rnacentral:rRNA from 1 species